rnacentral:lncRNA from 1 species
UGCACAGAAUUUUUGCUUUAAGGCCUGAAGACACUUCUAGAGCCAUCCCCUGAAUCACCAACCUCCACAUUUCUGCCAGAAGAAGCUGUGGUUCACAUCCAGAGCCAGGAGCUGCUGCCUCGCACUGGUCUCUGGUCUCCCAUCGAUGCAGUGUCGACCCAGCAGCAUCCUGCCCUGACGGAGAGAAGUUCCAAGCAUCAAACAUCAAGAACAGGUCCCAUGGAGACAAGGCCACACAGCAGCUUCCAUGUGUCAGCGUUCCCGCUGCGUCCUUCCCACAGGCAUUCCGAAUUCGGCUGCUCACAUACACAGCUCUG